rnacentral:rRNA from 1 species
GGAGGAAAAGAAACUAACAAGGAUUCCCCUAGUAACGGCGAGUGAACCGGGAAGAGCUCAAAUUUGAAAUCUGGCGUCCUCAGGGCGUCCGAGUUGUAAUCUAUAGAGGCGUUUUCCGUGCCGGACCGUGUCCAAGUUCCUUGGAACAGGAUAUCAAAGAGGGUGACAAUCCCGUACUUGACACGACGACCGGUGCUCUGUGAUACGUCUUCUACGAGUCGAGUUGUUUGGGAAUGCAGCUCAAAAUGGGUGGUGAGUUCCAUCUAAAGCUAAAUAUUGGCGAGAGACCGAUAGCGAACAAGUACCGUGAGGGAAAGAUGAAAAGCACUUUGGAAAGAGAGUUAAACAGUACGUGAAAUUGUUGAAAGGGAAACGAUUGAAGUCAGUCGUGACCGAGAGGCUCAGCCGGUUCUGCCGGUGUAUUCCCCUCGGUCGGGUCAACAUCAGUUUUGUCCGGUGGAUAAGGGCGGUAGGAAGGUGGCACCCUCGGGUGUGUUAUAGCCUGCCGUCGCAUACAUCGGGUGAGACUGAGGAACGCAGCUCGCCUUUAUGGCCGGGGUUCGCCCACGUCCGAGCUUAGGAUGUUGACAUAAUGGCUUUAAACGACCCGUCUUGAAACACGGACC